UGCAGACAGGCAGGUAGACAGAGCCAGCCCAUUGGUGGGGGACGGUGGGCAGGACGACUGAAGAUGACGGCGUGAGGAACCCGGCGGCGGUGCUUUUUGACGCUCGGUUCUCCGUGAUUUCCCCCCUUCAGCCACGGGAGGAAGGAGCAAAGACUGCUGGGAACUUUACGGAUUAAUCUCAACAUGGCCGACAGUCUUCGUGUCUUCUUGCCGUGUUGAUGAACUUCUCAAAGCUCCCGCGCUCCUCCCCUCUGGACUGAUUCUCUGAUAUUCCCCGACAGUAUACGCUUUCCAAUCACAGUAUUUCUUUUAUCGUUUCGUUGUAAAGUUGCACUUUAAACUUUGAGAUUCUUUUCUAGCCCACAGUUCCAGAUGUGGUUCAUAAUAUAUGCAUAAUAUGGUUAUAUUUAUGUUUUGACUUGCUUUAAUCUUGUUUUAUUUAGGGAUUUUUUUAACCCUUCUUUGAUUGCAGAUGCGGACCCCGUGAAAAGAGGUUAAUUUAAACAUUUUGAGAUGAAAACUCUGACUUGUAUCUGAGAUUUCUUUUAUCUCAGGGUAUAUAAAUGAACCUUGUUUCAACACGUAUUAAUCGCCUUCUGUUUUCUAACGAAGGCUGUCUUUGGGUCCUUUAUCCAAUCAGGGUGCUCCACUCGUUUUAAUUUUUCAUGCUAACGAG